CAGAGAGCUGUGAAAUGUUGACCUGAAAAUAAGACAACCCUGAUUAUAAGACGACCCCUAUUUCAGGACUAGUUUAAAGUAAAAGACUUAUGAGGACAAAAUCUGGUUUAUAAAAAGAAAACAAUCCUGUUACGUGUGAGGCCGGCUCAGAAGAGCCUCCUGUCUGGUCUCUUUCUCUCUCUCUCUCUGCAUGUAGGGAAGUCUGGGAACAAGAUGGCUGCAUGCCCUUCCAUGUGACAUGUGGAGAGUAUGGCCCAAUCCCAAACCGACCCCUACACACUCCGCCUUCACUACCGAGUGUCACCCGUAAUGAAGUUACACUCACAGCUGUGGAGUGCGCCUCAAUUGAAAUGGGACGGUAUAAACAAGACGGGCGGGUAUGGGACGCCCUCCUCACUCCACUGGAAAACUGAAAGAUUCAUCGCCAUAGCAACAUAAAGACGCGUCCUGUCAUAAAUCCAGUAACCAUUACAGUGACAGGAGCUAAAUUAUACCUCUGAUUGUCAGUGAUUCCACAUGUCUUUGAACCCCUUUACUAUUUGACAUGUGCCUGUGUGGCACGAGGUGUUUUCCAAGACAGCAAGACAUUGGGACAACUUAGCAUUUACCACUUACCCCCCAUUUUUCCAUCUUUCAAAGGUUAUUAUCAUUAUUAGUUUUAUACACAUAAUAUACUACACACACACACACACACACACACACAACAAGAACAGGAUGAAACCAUUUUUUGUUACCUGUUGGUUAUGGUUUGCACUGUUGAAUUUCUGUGUACACGGUGGGGACAUCUCGUCAGCAGAGGGCGCUGUGUGCACGCGCUCUCCAUGGCUGACCCUCUCAGUACAAUCGAGUGAGAAGCCAGACGGAAAGAUUGUAAACACGGUCAUAAGAACUGGAGCCGUAUGCACGUUGCUUGGCAAAACGCGUUUAGCGGGCUAAAUGCGUUUAACUCCUAAACGCCAAAAAUGUCGGUAUGCACAUCACUUGGUAUAGCCGUACCUAUGCGGAUUUUCGCGUUUAAAGUUAUCGCACCUCUGGGGGUCCAAUAGCGGGUCUAAACGCGUUUAAAUAUGGCGGCACUCUUGUUGUUCCAAGGAAGACAGCGGCGACAAUUGCGUCGAAACAGGAUUUUUCGUGACAGAAAACACCCCUUCGACACGUAUGACAACCACGAAGUGUUCCGUAAGAAUAAUAAUAAAAGUAGGCCUACAUUUACAUUUCCUGAAGGUGUAAUACUAAUGGCAUGCACAGAGCCAAUGACCAAAAUUUAAAAAAAACUCACCUGCCACACCAGUAAACAAAUUCGAUUUUUCCCCGAUGAUACCCAGAAUAAUUUCCUCAUAGUGUGACAGCCGGGGGCGGGGUUAACAGAAAAUGGUAUCUAGAAGAAGAUGUAGUGAAAUACUGUAACCCCUAUUUACCAAUCAACUACUGGUUACUGAUUACAAAUUGAUUUUUGUUGCUGACAACGCCACCCCAGGAAUUUCACCUGGAGAGUAUAAAUUACCCCUGAGUAUAAAACUAGGGCACACACAGGUUCGUCUGCUAGUGAAGACGGGAGGCCGUGGUCCAGUGUACAAAUAUGUUUAAAUUUUAUUUGACAAUUUUCACCAAAAACAAAGUUAAUAAAAUAUUUUUUCGCUCAUUCAUCCGCACUCAUUCACACACAAACACACACACACUUCUAUAGCAACAAUAUUGCCUAUAAAAUUGUUGUGCAAAUAGCAAAUCCUGGUUGAAUCAACAAUAACCACAAAUACCAAAAUAAAGAAAACUAGCAAGCAAAAAAAGAAGAAAGAUAACUCAAAAUAUUUAGAAAUAACCAAACCAAACAAACAUGCAAAUAAACCAAAUACUAAUAACUAACAAAACAAAGUACUCAAACUGGAGAAACAAAACACAAAACACUCAAAUCACAAAAUAAUAUCAAAUGAUUUAAACCAUAAUAGACUAAAUGCCAACAAAAUGAGGAAGCUGAGGCAACAGGUUACCAAAAUAAAACUUCGUCCCAAGGGUGUUGACGUCACCUCACAUGAAGCAGAACGCCAUCGGAUGAAAGUUAGAUAGCGAUAGUGACGGCCUUACCAACGGCGAUGAGACAGGAGUACAGUAAAGCAGGCAGAAGCUGUAGCAGAAACAACCACAGCAGCAGCACAGGAGCAAACCAGCAGCCCAGAAGCCGACAGCAGCACAGAAGCAGACCAGCAGCACCGAAGCAGACCAGCAGCCCAGAAGCAGAACAGCAGCACAGCCGAUAGCAGCCCGAGAGGAGGGAGGAGAGUUUAGGGCAGCCCGACCGGCUCACACACACAAAACCUAAUGUGAGAAAAAUAUAAUUUAGCACCACGGCUUGAUAAGGAUCGCAUGAGUUGCAGUCAUUUAAAACACAUACCGUCAGAAAGUUGAAUGAACCUCACUAGGGCGAGGGAACGAGGCACCCGAAGCGCCACAGAACUAUCAAUGGCCAAUCAGCUGAUCAACCCCAGCUGUGUGGGGAUACAGGAAGACACACUUUGGGUCCCGCAAUCGGUUCGAUGCAGGAGAGAGAAGACCCAGUGAGGAACUGUUGGAGACAAAUACCAACCCUGACGGCAACCGCAAAACUUUUAAAGCGCUGUAAAGCGAUGUAUGGAAAGUAUGUGAUUGGCAUACCAGGAGCAGCGAACUGAGCACACAGACAAUCCGGCAGCGAGGCGAUCAGGUACGGUGACCAGGUGCUGUGAUUAGGGAGGCAGCAGAGCUGACAAGAGCUCGGAGCAGAGGGAGAGGGCUCCCAGGGAGCAAGCACCCACAUUUAUAGACUAUGCCCCCUGAAGGCAUAGGCCGAGACUGCAACCUAAUCAAUGUACAGCUGGGCUGUCAGCCCAUACUGCCACAUUCUACCCCCGGCAAUUGAAUCGUCUCCCGACGAUUGAACGACUAACACUACGGAAUGGCACUACUAGUCCCAUGGCCGAUAGAAUGCUGUAACGGCACUGGACACUGGAGCAGGGGGUAAACCCUGUACGGGCCUCGGAAGGUGAUGCACAUUUAAAUGGUGACCAGCCGUUGACCUGGCUGACCGGCGGACUGCACCUUCACCAGAAUGACUGGUUGAGGGACCCACCAAAGGAACUGCAGGGACCUCUGCAGUAGCAGCAGGGGUGAUGCUGGAAGGCCCUGGAUCAAUGUGGUCCGGCGGGGGCAAUAACCGAGGGGUGGUUUGAGUAACCACAGCUGUAUGAGCAGGGGUGGUGAUAGGGAUUCCUGGGCCCAAGACAAACAGGUCCCCAUCACAUGAGUGUUCAUCAUCUGAUGGAGGAUGAUCGGGAGAAGGGGAGGAUAGGGAAACUGCACCUCCCUGAAGGGCAGCUCCGGCCACAGGUUUCAACAGGUUGUGAUGAACCUGCCGAACCUUAGUCUGGUCUCUAGUUGGUGCGAUGGUGUACACAGAACCUCCCUGUUGGGGCGUCCGUAUUACUCUGUACACCACAGGGCCCCACAGAUCCUGAAUUUUGUGGCGUCCCCUCGCACUAUGGUCACGCAACCACACCAGUUGUCCCACCUUUAGUGGGUCUUCUUUGACAUGACGAUCAUGGUUUUUCCCUAGGCGCUCAGCCGCAAGCUUUAUCCUUUCCCGUGCCCCUUCAAAGGCAAGCUGGAGCCGGGUUUGAUGUUCUUGGAUCCACUCAUGGACCUCACCGCUCACAGGUUCUGGAACUCUGCCCAAAAGGAAAUCAACUGGCAACCUGGGUUCUUGCCCGAACAUCAGGUAGAAUGGAGACUCGCCAGUUGACUGAUGGGGGGUUGUGUUAUACGAGUAGAGAACCUGUGGCAGACAGGAGUGCCAAUCUCGUUUCCGUGACACAGGUAAGGCACGCAACAAGUUGUGAAGAGUGCGGUUGAAGCGUUCGCACUGACCGUUACCGGCCGGAUGGUAAGGAGUGGUGCGGGACUUCACGAUACCAUAAAGGACACAGAGCUGUUGAAUGAGGGAACUCUCAAAGUUGCGGCCCUGAUCAGAGUGGACACGAGCAGGAACCCCAAACUUAUAGAACCAUUCCGAAACCAAAA